rnacentral:lncRNA from 1 species
CCCCAAUGCUAGGCAUCCUUCUGCAAGCUCCACUGGAAAUUUCUUUCUUCUGGGACUGUUACCUUCAAAGGAAAAACAUGUUAUAUGGAAGACAGAGAUUGAUUUUAUAUGUGGUACCAAGAUGGAGAGACAUAAUGACACUCAUCUAAGUGACUGAGCAGAGACACAGAGGAGCCAUGUGCAAAAUAAUGGGAAUGUUUUUCUAUUCUUUCUGGAGGUAGGAGAAAGGCACUGAGGAGGAUCAUCAGCCAAAAUCUGCAGGAGAGCUAAAUGAAAAAAGGAAAGCCUUUCAUGAGAAAUUGUAACUGAAGGUGAAAGGACUCUUCCUGAGGAAAGGAAGGAGGCCUUUUUACCUCCCUCACAUAAUUUUUACUUAAACUGACUGGAAAACCAAACUAUGGCACAUCACACUGACUUUUAAGUCAAAAUCACUGUAAUCAGCAUGAGUCACACAUCACAUACACCCUCCAUAUAUAUUUUAGCAACGAAAGUGGUAAGGGUAAUGUCAACAGAGAUAGAGUUAACUGUAAGCAGGUGCUAAUAUUGAAUACACUUCUUUCCUUUGCGAAUGGCUACUUUGGCUGCAAGUCAUAAUGAUGUUUUUCUUUUUAUGGAAUCGAUGAGUCUGGAGAAGCAGACCACAGAGUAACAAAUCGGGACUUACCAGAGGCAAAAUAAAAUAUGCUUGAUGGACUCCUGACA